GAACUGCGGCGGGGGUGGCUGGGCCACCGGAGGGAAGCGGGUGUGGCCCAGGCAGCGGGGGCUGGGACAGACCUGGAAAGGAGGAAGCGGGGAAGGAAGGUUGUCCUGCCGGGCUGGGGGCUCCCGGUAAUCCGGAGGCCAGCAGUGGAACUGCAAGGGUCUACAGGGCAGAUCUGCCUCCCGGCCUGUUUCAGCUACGCUGAGUCGUUGGCUCAAGGCGGAGGAUUUUCCUAUUGGCUGCGUUAUUUGAAUGGAAUGGAGGAUAGGUCGUGAAGUAGGUGCUGGUGGUUGCUCUAAGGAACUCAGAUGAACUUGGGCAUGUCAGAAUUAAUAACCUUUUAAAAGUGAGGUCUGUGUAGCCGAGGGUUUUAAUGUCCUACACAGGGAGUUGACCAGAACCAACACGGAACCACCCUAACUUGCUUCAGACUCCAUUGCUAGAUCAAUCCUGAUUUCUAGAUCAUAGCAUCUAAUCCUUUGCCUUGCCUCUGGAUUACAAGGGUGGAACCAAGCAGAGGGGUUGACCCAAGCCAUCCUUGGGUGUUUCCAUGGGAAAGAAGGAUUUCACUGAGAAUAAUAAGUGACACCAAGGCUCAAAAGAAUGAGAGAGAAGUCUGUUGGUCUCUUGAACAGCAAGGAUUUGCUCACAGAUCUCUGGAAGUAGCCAGAAUGUGACAGGAUCUCAAAAUGAAUGGCUGCUUCAUGGAGGCUGGUACGUAAGCCUGGGACUCCCACUAGCCAAACAUAGCUGUGCCACAAACAUGGCUGAAAUGUAGCAGUUUGGUGGAUCUGAGGUCAGUCAGUAAAAAUGUAUUGAUUGGCACCUGUUCUUUGUCAAUCAUUAUUCUGGGUUCUGGGGACACAGGAGUGAAUGAAACAAAUGAAGUACCUGCCAUCAAUGAGCUUACAUUCUAGUGAGGAGGGACAGAAAAUGAAUACAUUUUAAUUCAGAUACCACUAAAUGUAGUGAAGAAAAAAACUGGGCUAAAGAGAGCGAAAAACAAUUUCUGAAGUUACUUGCAGUAAAGAGUGGGAGAAGAAAAGAUACUGAUUUAACCGGGAAAGAUCUGAGCUGAGGGUGUAUCCAGGUUUUCUGGAACCUGAUAUUGUUACAGUUUAGAGAUUCUUCUUUAAGAAAAAGGAUUUAAAAUUACAAAUAAUUAAGUUCAGGGCCUUGGAAGGGGUCCACUCAAGUGAACAGAAGAUUAUGUGCUCCUUAUGAAAUACAUGAUUUAAAACUACAGCAGUGGCUGGGCGUGGUGGCUCAUGCCUGUAAUCCCAGCAUUUUCCCAGC